GCUGGGCACUCGGCGGCCGCGGCCGGGCUGGCAGGUGCCUCUUGAGCUUUGGGCCCAGGGUCCCCCACGAGCCCUCGAGCGGCCCGGGGUCUGCCCAUCUCCUCCUGGGCCCUCCGCGAGCGCUCCAGUCCGAAGAGACCCAGUGACUGUCGCGUUCCCAGGAGUCGAGACUCUCAGGGGGCCCGGGCUGGGGGGAGGAGGAAUUCUGCCCAGACUCUGCAGCAGUUGGAGCAAGCAAGGUUUCUCCUGGGUGCUUCCUGGAAAAGUUGCAAAAUUGCUCUUCACCUGUAAGAACAUGCUUUUUAUCUUCCAGUCUCUUCUUGUCAAUUUGGAAGUUGCAGACAGCCGGCUCAGGUACAGUCCCCACAAAAACCUACUCUAGGUCAGGACAAAAGCCACUAGCUUUGGGCGGGGGUGGGGGUGCUGGGCUGUUGUGCAGAAAACCUUAGACACUUGGUGGGAGAAAAAGACUCCUUGGAUGAAAAGUCUAACUCGAUUUUCUGUAAGUCCUUGAGCUUCCAAUGUUCUUACUACAUAGUCAUUUUAUUGUCUCUGUUCAUGUUUAACUUUUUUUCCCUGUGUCCUCUGUCUUUAAGUUUUUUUUUUUCCCCCCUAAGAAUCUGAUUUAUAGUAGCAUGCUUUAUGUUUUUAAGUAAUUUUCAUAAACAAGUGGAUGGUUUUUAAUUGCCAUGAGUACAAUUAUCUUGCUAUAAAUAUGAGAUGUAAGCAUUUAGAAG
rnacentral:lncRNA from 1 species